AUUAUAAAUCAGCCGCAAUUGAAAACUAUCUCCGCCAAAACAUAUAAUCUAACUCAGCCGCAAAUGGAACACUAACUCAGUCAGAACAUAAUAUAUAACUCAGUCGCAAUGAAAAUCAAACUCAGACACAACAUAAAUAGAACACAUCAACAUCAUAAAUCAAACUUAGUGACACCAUACCGGAGAAGACGAUUUUGGG
rnacentral:lncRNA from 1 species